rnacentral:rRNA from 1 species
AAUCGGAGGGUCAGCACCGUCUCCGGUGGAGAGGUGCCGCCGGUGUCGGUCCCUCCGGCGCCGAAGCAACGCAGGGCUCAGACGGUCGGCUCGGUCUCCGGCAGAGAACCCUCGCUGCAGAUGCACGCCACACAACAAGGCAGACCGGCCAGUUCCUCGAAAUCUAGGCCAUCAGCUGCUGCAACCAAAACUGGUGUACAGGCGAAGCCAAAGAAGACCAAAGAGCUGGAAGAAGCUGAGAACGAAAUCAGAAAACUGAACAAAUUGCGCUUGGGAGACGAUAUCAGCAACGAACAGUAUUGUGUUUAUCUUAAUCAGCUGCCUCGCAAGCCUGAUGUCGACGUCUGCACCAAGCUGGAUGCCGUGCAGCUCAAGGAGCUCAAUGUGCGCCAUGCGUUGUAUCGCCGCAAGUAUUAUCAGUGUCUAUAGCUGUCACAACACGUGCCUGAGGAUAAGCUUUGCUAUGAUAAACUGAAGGAGGACUACCCCCCUGGCCAUCGUCCUGUGGGGCAGAGAUCUUUUAAGUGCUCUGAGGAAGAUGGCGAAUUAGAUUGGUCUUUCCACCCUGACUACUGCAAACUUGCUGGCCUGGAGGACUACCAACGGCUGGUCCCUUGAAAUUAUGGUGGUUUUGAGUAUGUCAAUUGGGAUGAGUACCACAAGGAUUGUCAUAGCUAUGAGAUUGAACAAGAAUAUGUCAAAUUCUGUGAAGAAUUGUCCAAGAAACUUAAGUGGAUUGAAGCUUAUGUGUUAAAUAAGCCUCCAUCUCUUAUGUGAGGAAAGAUUUUGACCAGAGGAACUUACCAAGCAAUCAAGAUCGCUACUGACUUCUUGAAGAUAUACGAUGGCUUAGCCUUUACUGGCUUCUACGAGUGGUUAGAUAGCAUGGGUUUUGAUGUGUGUUGCUACAACGAGUUUGAUGGUCUCUAUUACGAGAUUUGGCAAAGGUGCAAGAUGGAGAAGAAAUUCAGAGAUGCUUUGUAUGAAGUCUAUGGACUUAAAAUGUUUCCGUUACGCCAAGAAAGAAUAAGACGUGCACUGGAGAAUGACACAUUCUGCUCCGACUUGGAAGAAGAGGUAAAUUGUUUUCCUUUUGCAGAUCGUUUCCAAAUUCACAUAAUAUUCAUUAUUAUAGGUGUUUUAUAUGCUGAUCUUUUUCAUACUUUUCCUUUUCAGUUUCUUGCUUGCACAGCUUGCCUCGAGGAAGUAAGUGUCGUUCUGUGUGUCUCACACUCUUAAGCCAUGUUUGGAUGCAAAGUGUUUUUAUAGUUUUUUAUGAAUACCAUGAUUUCUGAUAAGAACAAUACUUUGUGGCGUUUAGACCUAGUAAAUACCACAAUUUUACAAGCUGCAGUAUUCCCAAUACUAUGGUAUUUUGGGAGUAUUAAAAAUUUACUCCUGCACUAUUUUCUCUAA